rnacentral:rRNA from 1 species
UCAGUUCAGAUUGUAGGCUGCAACUCGCCUACAUGAAGUCGGAAUUGCUAGUAAUCGCGGAUCAGCAUGCCGCGGUGAAUACGUUCCCGGGCCUUGUACACACCGCCCGUCACACCAUGAGAGCCGGUAACACCCGAAGUCAGUAGCCUAACCGCAAGGGGGGCGCUGCCGAAGGUGGGAUUGGUAAUUGGGGUGAAGUCGUAACAAGGUAAC